AAGUCGUAACAAGGUUUCCGUAGGUGAACCUGCGGAAGGAUCAUUACUGAAUGGCGUGCGUCCUGGUUGUGGUAGACCAUUUCCUCCCAUCGGAUUUGGUCAGAUGUCGGACCGGCCGGGAUUUGGUCUACCAUGCCUUUCACCAAACAAACCUGUCACAUUGUAUGUAUGGCAUCAAAGUAUAUAAAUAUAACUUUCAACAACGGAUCUCUUGGCUCUC
rnacentral:misc_RNA from 1 species